CGCCAGACUCCUACGGGAGGCAGCAGUGGGGAAUAUUGCACAAUGGGGGAAACCCUGAUGCAGCGACGCCGCGUGAGCGAUGAAGUAUUUCGGUAUGUAAAGCUCUAUCAGCAGGGAAGAAGAUGACGGUACCUGACUAAGAAGCCCCGGCUAACUACGUGCCAGCAGCCGCGGUAAUACGUAGGGGGCAAGCGUUAUCCGGAUUUACUGGGUGUAAAGGGAGCGUAGACGGCGAUGCAAGCCAGAUGUGAAAGCCCGGGGCUCAACCCCGGGACUGCAUUUGGAACUGUGUGGCUGGAGUGUCGGAGAGGCAGGCGGAAUUCCUAGUGUAGCGGUGAAAUGCGUAGAUAUUAGGAGGAACACCAGUGGCGAAGGCGGCUUACUGGACUGUAACUGACGUUGAGGCUCGAAAGCGUGGGGAGCAAACAGGAUUAGAUACCCGGGUA
rnacentral:rRNA from 1 species